CGUGCGAUGACGGCUCGUGUGUCGAUCUCCGACUGGUUGAUAACGGAGUCGAUGACUGCGCAGACGGAAGUGACGAACCCUUCCCAACAACACUUGCGCCGAGCCUCCCCAACCAAUCAUCAGGUUGUCUGUCUUAAAAUUUGGGAGAGUACAGUACUCUCUGAAUCAAAGCGCUCAGGAUCGACGGAUUUUGGAUGGGCAGCCCGUUUCGGAACGAUAUCCAGUCUUUACUUCUUCCAUUGGUUCUGGAGGCUUGAUCGUGGUGGCGAAAAUCUCCCCACAAUCCCUGCAGUGAGAAUGAAUAAACCGGAAUCGAGCAGUCAAGAAGAUUAAAAACGGUGACAGUCGGAGGGGAGAUAACUUUUCCAUUUGUGCCUGACGUUUAGGAUGUACGCGUAGCUUUAACAUAUGGAACUAGAUAGCUCAAACGGGAGUCAUCCUAUCUUCACUGUGCUCAGUAGUUCGAAAUUGUCUGAAACGAGGAAAACUGAAGUGAAAUCAUAAAGUUUUCUCAAUCGUGUUUUCUCAGUAAUGUUUUGGGGGGGAAAUAGUGCCAUGAGAUACGUUCUUCUUCAUUUUUAUAUUUCACAUGAAAUAAGGUUGAAAAUUGAAAAAGGCUCACCAGACUGACAUCUGAAAAUUAUGCGGUACAAAAAAACCUUAGUUUAUUUUGUCCGACUUUUUAAAGAGUGCUAAACGCAUUUAAAUGUUUGAAUUCUAUGAUGCCCGUUACAAACAGCUUGGCUUACAGGCGAAAAUAAAUAAAAUCUAAGGCGAAUUUAAAUAUUUGAAUGCAUGUGUGUUUAAAAUGCCUAAAAUGUGACUAAAACUACUCCUACAUAUAAUUUUUAACUGUAUGCCUAGCGAUGCUUACUUCAACUUUAAGCUCUCUUUUCAUUUAAGUACGACAUCUUGAAUCAUGCAUCCGUAUCCUUC